CCUACGGGAGGCAGCAGUGGGGGAUAUUGCACAAUGGGCGAUACCCUGAUGCAGCGACGCCGCGUGUGGGAAGACGGUCCUCUGGAUUGUAAACCACUGUCCCCAGGGACGAAGAUGACGGUACCUGGGGAGGAAGCUCCGGCUAACUACGUGCCAGCAGCCGCGGUAAUACGUAGGGAGCGAGCGUUGUCCGGAAUUACUGGGUGUAAAGGGAGCGUAGGCGGGGUUGCAAGUUGGGUGUCAAAACUACGGGCGCAACUGGUAGGCGCAGUUAAAACUGGAGCUCUUGAGUGAAGUAGAGGCAGGCGGAAUUCCUAGUGUAGCGGUGAAAUGCGUAGAUAUUAGGAAGAACACCGGUGGCGAAGGCGGCCUGCUGGGCUUCUACUGACGCUGAGGCUCGAAAGUGUGGGGAGCGAACAGGAUUAGAUACCCGUGUAGUC
rnacentral:rRNA from 1 species